rnacentral:lncRNA from 1 species
AAAAAAACUAAAAUUAAAUAAAAACACAAAAAAUAGCUAAUAAUAAAAUUCUAAUUCAUCAGCAUGCGUUAUCAUUUGUUAAGUAUUUAUCAUCAUAAAUAUAUACAUUUAGUUUCAUUUAUAUUAAUACACUGAGUACAAGUAAUGCAAGUAGUUUAAACUUAAGCAAUGUUUCUCAGCAUAGUAACACCAGUAGAGAAAGAUUGUAAUUCAUAAUAUCAUAUAUAUAUAUAUAUGUACCAUGAUGGACCUGUUUCUGCUGAACAGAACAUCCCAGAGUAUAAGACAUUUUUUUUUUAUUAUUAAUGUUACCUGAAUUUCCUCAGAGCGGGUGUCUGCGGUGUCCUCUCGUGUACAGCAGUACUCCGGCUCCUACUGUAACACUCCUGAGUGUGUCGCGCAUGCGCCGCUCCUCCGCGACAGCAGGCGGCGCUGCAGUGUUUGGGAGCAGCGGAACUCGGCGAAUGGAGGGAAAUUUUAUUCUGGAUGACAACAGAGUGGUUCGGGAUGAACUGGAAGAAAGUGUUUUAGGAUCCUGAACGCCUGUGUGCGGAUGAUGAGCAGCAGCGCGGGUUUAGAGGCGGCCCUGCUCGACGCGCUCAGUGACGCGGACGCCAGGUAAAGUUUGCUGUCCUUCCCUACCGUGUGUGUGUGUGUGUGUGUGUGUGUGUGUGGUACAGUAUUGCUCUUGGUUCAGUUGUUAUGUAGGUUAAUGCAUCAGUGUGCAAAAGAUAGGGGGCGCCGUCUGCUGUAACUUGUGUCUCUGAGGAUGUUUACAUUCCCAUGAUCCUUUGCUCCUCUUUCAUCUGAUAUCACUGUGGCUGAGAUUAUUGAUCUGAAAUUCUACAUGCAUUCAACAGUAAUACUUAAUGUGAGGUUUGUGUGUGUGUGUGUGUGUGUGUGUGUGUGUGUGUGAUAGUGAUGAGAAUAUUCUUUAUGUAUAAUGUUAAUUGUGUGUGCAUGUGUUAAAUGUCAUAUUUGUGUGUUUCAGAUGAUGAGACUGGUAUCAUGGAUGGUUUGUUGGAGGCGCUGCAGUCUGGAGCUGCUUUCAAGAGGAAGAGAGGACCACGACAAGCAGCCAACAAUCGGAGAGGAGCCGGUAACGCCGUGACAAACAUUCUCGCCAAAGAGCUUCUUCAAGAGAGCGCCCCACCCAGUGCCACAAAAAAGACCCGAUUGGGAGCAGAGGACAGGAAGGAGUCGUCUCCGGAGGACACGAGCUCACUGGAGGACCUCUUAGAUGACGCUCCGUUACGCUCAAAUUAAGGACUUUCUCUGCUGAUCCUGCCAGUUAAAAGACAGACUGUGUUUGGGGACCAAGUCUGCGAGGGCGGGGCUCUCGCUAAGCCACACCCACGCAGCUUCCUAUUGGCCGUCACACUGGAGGAGUGGCCUCAUCUCAGCACUGUCACACUCGUUUUGUCAUUUUCUAGCACUCUUCUCUAAACACAAGGUUUCAUCUGUCUGUUAUCUCUAUCGACUGCUUUUGGAAGAUUCCAAAGAUUCAUGUAGAGAUUCUGUUUUGUUCCAUUCCAAAUUCAUCUGAGUGUCCUCUUCUGGUUCCAUCUGAAAACAAACAUCUGUUCUGCUUUAACGUUUAGCUUUUUUUUGUUUUUUGACUUUUAAACACAUCACGUGGCUGAAAGUUUGAAAUAGGUUACAUUAUUAUAUUCGAAACACAACGUGCCAAUAAUGUUGACUCCAUAUAUGCAUGUUCAAUUAGUGUGUGCUUGAGGUGUUCUCACUGAGGUUCUGUAGCCAUCACAAAGAGGUGUGGUACCUGUUAACAACAUUAUUUCUGUCUUCCUGUGCUCUUCUGUUUCUGGGUACUUCAUUCUGUCAUUUUAAGUGAAUAAUGUUGUUUAAAUCUCAAAAAUACUUGUAAAUUUCACCAGCUACAAUCAUUGAGCCUCAUUCAAGUCAUUCAUAAACCAUUCUUUUAUGGAAUUAAAUGUGACAAUUUAUGCAAAAAUGGUUUUGGAUAGAAUUGAUAAAACAUUUGUUAUUCACAGUUGUUUUAUGAAUAAUUUGUGUGUGGAUUGCUGCACUUCCUUUCAUGAACAGCAUUGUCAGUUUUGUGUCUUUCCAGAAACGUCAGUACUGUUUGUAAAGUGCUGUUUUCGAUAUGCUGUUUUCUGCACACUGAAGAUCCAAACUGCUGAUACAUACGCCACACAAUUUUCAGUGGUGUUUCACCAUUGCGAGAUAAAUCAUUUUUAAUUUACUGCCAGACAGUGAGUAAAAAGUCACUGCAAAAUAUCUAUUUUGAGGGCAAAAGUAACAUUGACAGCUCCUUGGCAUUUAUUUCUCUAUGAUAAACGGUUUGAUCAAGCCAAAUCCGAAGGACUGUAGCAGAGCACUUCUAUCGUUGGUGCUGAAAUAUCUGUUAAAAGCUGCACAUAGACUUAUUCAACUUUAGUAUUUUUCAUUGCAGUAAGACAGUGAGCAAAUGUUCCUGUCUUUUAUGUUGACUGAUCACCAGCAGAUACUGUUUAACCUGUCGACUGUUAAGAUUGUUCUUGAGUCAUAAACUGAGUUUGUGUCAGUGACACCGGGAAAUAUGACCUCAGAGUUUCAGCUUUGCAAUAUGACUUACCUGAAUGUUGAAGUUGGCUGAAUGUUUGAGGGUAGAGUUCACUGUUGAAAGCCAUAGCUCGGACUGCAUUUGUCGAGAAAUCCUGAGAAAUUGUCUUCCGGAUUAAACUAUAUUAAAAUAUAUAUGCAUUUAUGUAAUUUUUGUGAAACAAUGUCAAUGUUUUGGCAGCGAUCAGGUCUCUAAAUUCUGCCUAGAAACCAGCAAGUCUCAAAGAGCUUGAGAACAUCCUGUUUGUUUGGGGGGUUUUUUUGGAGUUUUUGAAGCCAAAUUUCCCAUUUAUUUACAUUUUUUUUUAAUUUUUGUGGACUGCAAUUUUGGAGAACUGCGAGCCAACAGAUUCUGCUUCAAUGCUGAUUGAUCACAAGUCAACAGUUUCACUUUUUUUGGAAAAGCUGGAAAAAGAUCACUGGAAGAGACUGUUUUCUUUCUUUUCUUUUUUAAAACAGUUUUUCCUCAUCAAUUUUUAUUCUUGAUUGUUUUAUUGUAAUAAUAUAGCGAUUGUAUUGGUGAAAUCCAUUUGGUCAAAUUGUGUAUAUUGCGUUUUGACUAUAGAGAUGUUUAUUCUGGUUAUCUCUAAAACCACACCAUUAAAAUAUCAUCUUUAAUACUUAUUCCAUAUGCAUUUUGUUUGUGUGUGUGUGUGUGUGUGUGUGUGUGUGUGUGUGUGUGUGUGUGUGUGUGUGUGUGUGUGUGUGUGUGUGUGUGUGUGUGUGUGUGUGUAGUAAAAAAAAACAAAAGGUGUAUUUUAGGGUUACACUUUUCAUUUGCUUACGCAAAAUUGUGAACAUUUGCUGAAAGUUUGCUCAGUCUCUGGCCAUCCAAGAUGUAGAUGUAGUUUGUUUCUUUAUCAGAGCAGAUUUGGAUAAAUGUACUGUAGCAUUACAUCACUUGCUCACCAAUGGAUCCUCUGCAGUGAAUGGGUGCCGUCAGAAUGAGUUCAAACAGCUGAUUAAAAAUAUCACAAUAAUCCACAUGACCAUGAUCCAUUUUCAUUUUUGGCUCAACUAUUCCUUUAAUGUUAAAUCUAUUUACAAUUGAUUUCAGUCGAAGUCAGUUUUAUUUCACUAAAUACAAUAGUAGAUUUCCAAAACCAUAUUAUUGCCAUAGUGCACUUUUCUAGAAACACAUGAUAAUACUAUGGUAUUUUUGGGACUUCUUUCUUUGUUAGUGCCUUACAGAUGUGUAUAAUAGAUAACAUGCACAGAGACAACAUGACGGUACAAAAAACAAAUGUGUGGUAAUGUUAAUGGAAUAUGUCUUGUGUGUGUGUGUAAUUUGGUAUGAGGGGUACAGCAUUUAUUUGACAUUCCUGUGUGUACAUCUGUGCGCUGGUUUUAUGUCUCAUGACUGCGGAAAAAAUGCAGCUAUGAUUUGGAAUUUCCUCUGAGCAAAUCCCAGACUAACACGCACUCACACACACUUCUCUGUUACAACUCAUACAGACACGGGGAGAAAUGCCUCCUACAGUACAUUCAACACACAAAGCAUGCAGGUCACACAAAGUCUUAUUUCCUGUUUGAGAGUUGUUUUGCACAUGGGUUAAUUGGUUUAGCUGUUUCUGCCAUGUGCUGUGGGGUCCGUCUGUCUUUCUCAGUGGUACAGUAGGUGUUUUUUUUUAAAGAUGUUCAAUAAGACGAGGAGUCGGGAGAAGGAUGGAAUGUUUAAUUUGGAAUCCCUCCAUUCCCUGUAACCACGGUGAUUAUUCUUCCAAUAAUAGAAUCAGACUCAUCCACAGAUUGUGGAAACCAGAGCAGCUCAUGCCAGAUGUGUUUCACUCUCACAAACUACUGACAGCAUUGUUUUUUCCUCUUCUUCUUUUAUUUAUUUAUUUAUUGUACAUGCAACACUUACUAUUGCACAUACAAGGGUUUGUUCAAAUCACUAACCCUAUAUAUGACCAAUAAUAAUGGUCAAAGAUGUUUUGUGAGUUACAGCUGUUUAAUAAAGUGUUUGAUGUGGCAUCUGUCAGGCAGAGCUUGACACUGAUCUUCUGAUGCCUCUCUUUGCAUCUUUAGACCUUGUGUUUGUGUGUGUGUGUGUGUGUGUGUGUGUGUGUGCUGUUGAAUGGAUAUGUGUUGAGGCGUGUGAGUGUUUCAUGUCUUUGCAGCAGGUCUUUUAUCAAAGCUUGACCUCUGACCCCUGUGGGAGUUCAAUAAAAACAGCAGCUCUCCACAUUCUUACACCCUACUAUCACAUUGCUAGGUUUUGACCAGUGUUAAGUAAAACUAUUAAAAAUAGUUAAAUGAAAUAAAUCUGAAAUAAAACGUAAAUAUUAGAUUAAAAAUUGGCAAAUAUUUAUUAUAUUGAAAUAUAAUAAAGUAUUGAAAUUACUAAAACUUGCUAUUGAAAUAUUGUUCAUUG